GCAUGUGGUUAAUUCGAUGCAACGCGAAGAACCUUACCAGGCUUGACAUCCAACGAAUCCUUCUGAAAGGAAGGAGUGCCUUCGGGAGCGUUGAGACAGGUGGUGCAUGGUUGUCGUCAGCUCGUGUCGUGAGAUGUUGGGUUAAGUCCCGCAACGAGCGCAACCCUUGCUAUUAGUUGCUAACAGGUUAAGCUGAGCACUCUAAUGGGACUGCCGGUGACAAGCCGGAGGAAGGUGGGGAUGACGUCAAAUCAUCAUGCCCUUUAUGACCUGGGCUACACACGUGCUACAAUGGAUGGUACAGAGAGCAGCGAGGCAGCGACGUGGAGCGAAUCUCAAAAAGCCAUUCUCAGUUCGGAUUGGAGUCUGCAACUCGACUCCAUGAAGUCGGAAUCGCUAGUAAUCGCGGAUCAGCACGCCGCGGUGAAUACGUUCCCGGGCCUU
rnacentral:rRNA from 1 species